AUACUUACCUGGCAGGGGAGAUACCAUGAUCACAAAGGUGGUUUUCCCAGGGUGAGGCUCAUGUGUUGCACUCUGGAUGUUCUGACCCCUGCAAUUUCCUCAAAUGUAGGAUAAUUUGUAAUUUGCAAUUUCUCC
rnacentral:snRNA from 1 species